rnacentral:rRNA from 1 species
UACGGAGGAUCCGAGCGUUAUCCGGAUUUAUUGGGUUUAAAGGGUGCUCAGGCGGGCCAUUAAGUCGGCGGUGAAAUUUUGCGGCUCAACCGUAAAAGUGCCUUCGAUACUGGUGGUCUUGAGUGUGGAUGAGGUAGGCGGAAUUUGUGGUGUAGCGGUGAAAUGCAUAGAUAUCACGAGGAACUCCGAUUGCUAAGGCAGCUUACUAAGCCAUAACUGACGCUCAAGCACGAAGGCGUGGGGAUCAAACAGGAUUAGAUACCCUGGUA